AAAAUGAAACACAAGAAUAAUUGAAUCUAAUAGGGUCUCAGAACUUAUGAAUAUAAAUAAAAAACCUUUUAUUUAUCACCAUAUGAUUACACAUUAUUUAUUGCAUACUUUUUCAGCUAUCAACUUUAUUCUUGAUUUAAAAAAAUAGUUGUCCCAUGCUCCAAGCAUGUACACUAUGUUUAUGAAUAUAAAUAAAAAACCUUUUAUUUAUCACCAUAUGAUUACACAUUAUUUAUUGCAUACUUUUUCAGCUAUCAACUUUAUUCUUGAUUUAAAAAAAUAGUUGUCCCAUGCUCCAAGCAUGUACACUAUGUUUUUCUAAACACUAGUCAGGCCACACACCAAGUAUGCAGACUAUGUUUGUCUAUGAUCUUUACUUUGCGAAAUAGACCAAUUGAACAUAACUCCAAUGAUUCUCAUUUCACAGUCCCAAACCUUACUGCAAAUGCAAGAAUUCCAAAUUCAUGCCAUUUACUGAAAUCUGUUAGAUUCUAAACUUAUAUGCAUUGAUCCUCUUGUAAUGAUUAUGCACAAAGUCACAAAGACUUGACAACAAACAUUACAGAGCAUUCCAAAGGAGAUCAACUCCUUGGAAACAUCCUUCUUGCAUUAAGUUUCGUAAUCUUACACAAAUUUAUUGAAUAAUUUCUAACUUUGAAACAUUUCCAUAUUCCAUUUUGAUUAUCACUUCUGAACAAGAGUUUCCUCCUUACAGAUUAUGUCAAUAUGGUCC
rnacentral:lncRNA from 1 species